rnacentral:rRNA from 1 species
UACGUAGGGGGCAAGCGUUGUCCGGAUUUAUUGGGCGUAAAGAGCGUGUAGGCGGUUUGGUAGGUCCGCUGUGAAAACUCGAGGCUCAACCUCGAGACGCCGGUGGAAACCAUCAGACUAGAGUCCGGAAGAGGAGAGUGGAAUUCCUGGUGUAGCGGUGAAAUGCGCAGAUAUCAGGAGGAACACCGGUGGCGAAGGCGGGUCUCUGGGCCGGAUACUGACGCUGGAGGAAGCGAAAGCGUGGGGAGCAAACAGG